rnacentral:lncRNA from 1 species
CUGACUGACCAAUAAUCUUUCUGAAAGGAUGACAAACAAGGAGAAAAAAGGAAGGCAUUUCAUGGCAUCAUAAACAUCGUGCUUUAUUUUUCAUCUCACGGAGCCUGUCUGGGUUUGGUUACGCUCGGGAGCUCGACGAGGACUCAGAAGCCAACACACAUAAGAAAAAUCGCGUCACUGCCGCCACUGAGGCGCACGAAGGAGCAGACGCGGCUCUCGGCGUCCAUCUGUGUGUGUCCAGCGGUCAUCAAUCACUCCUGGAAUGGGACCUGCGUGGGUGGAGCGGCACUCUAGUCCUGGGUAAAUAAGCAAAGAAAUGUGCUCAAAGAGAGGCUGCGAGGGCACAGGGAGGUG